GCCUGGGUGGCUCAUUCGGUUGGGCAUCUGAUUUCGGCUCAGGUCAUGAUCUCACGGUUCGUGGGUUCGAGCCCCACAUUGGGCU
rnacentral:tRNA from 1 species